CAAGACAGUAUCAAAAGCCUUACUAAAGUCAAGAUUUACUACAUCUACCUCUUCCCCCCAUCCACAAGGCUUGUUUCUCUGUCAAAGAAAGCUAUUAGAUGGGUUUGACAUGAUUUGUUCUUGACAAAUCCAUGGUGACUGUCACUUAUCACCUUGUUAUCUUCUAGAUGUUUGCAAAUUAAU